UUUUUUNUUUUUUUUUUUUUUUUUUGCUUUUUAGGGCCACAGUCUCGGCAUAUGGAAGCUCGCAGGCUAGGGGUUGAAUCAGAGCUGGAGCUGCCGACCUACACCACAGCCACAGCAGUGCAGGAUCCGAGCCAUGUCUGUAACUUACACCAUAGCUCAUGGCAACUCUGGACCCUUAACCCACUGAGCAAGGCCAGGGAUCAAACCCACAUCUUCAUGGAUACUAGUCAGGUUUGUAACCCACUGAGCCAGAAUGGGAAUUCCAUAUUUAAUAUAAGUGAAAUACUUUAUGUGAAGGUGUAUUAUAUUUUUAUGUCUGUUAAAAAAUUCUGUACUUAUGGGAAAAAUUGCUACUUAUUAAGAGAAUCAGUACAUUAAGGUAAUCAUAUGGAAAGAUAGCUUUGUAUGGAGGCUCUACCCAGCAAUUGUGUGUCGUAUCAAUUCAGGUACUCUCUUUCUAUGUCCACCCAACGGACAUCACUUAAUAAUUUGGUAAAGUGAAAACAGUGCUCAGAAGAAGAUGAUUUGUAUAGCACAUUUAGAUCUGCACCACUUCUAUAAAACCCUCGAAUGGUACCUUAAUGGACGCAGUAUACCAUAAAGCUAAUGUGGGUUAGAUGAUAAUGUGGUUAAAUGGAUUUUCCCCUGUUUGAACAAAGGAACUGACAAUUUAAUUAAUGGAUCAAUGCCAGUCUGGAGAAAUACGUCUUGUGGCAAGUGAGGGGCUCUGACCUUUGUGUAUGUAUGUGAGCGGGAGUGGGGUUGGGGGGGUAUUGGAAUUUUGCCAUUAAUCAUGGGAAAACAAAAAACAAAACCCCAAAGUGGAAAUGUCUACAGUGGAAAAUAAGAAACCAGAAUUUUAGAAAGCUCCCCUCCUUGAUGGUGAGAAACACAUCUCAUUUUUCUGUCUUUUUUUUUUUUUUUUUUUAAUAUUCUCAACGCCUGUCAUAUUGCCCCCUAUGAAGGAGGUAUUCAGAAACAUCUGUUUGUUGAUUCAUUCAUUGAAUGUGAUGUAACAUGCAUUUUGGCAUAAUAGGGACAGAAAUGGCACUGAUGCCUAGACCUCAGUCUUCGAAAUUCUGAUGUAAUUGAUCUGGGCUGGAGUCCAGGCAUUAGUUUUUUGUAUAAGCUCCUCAGAUUAAUGUUCGUCCAAGGUUAAGGGCUACAGUUUAAGUCAUUUACAAGUCUAAGUUUUUGAAAUGAACCCAAGAUUGCAUAUUCCUACAUACUGUGUACUUAAAUGGAUUUUCCCAGGUUCGGACACACACACACACACACACACACACACACACACACACACACACACUCCCCCCCCCCCCNUCUCAUGAGUGUCUUGACUUGUAUGUGCUGUGGAUCAUGGUGACGUGUUCUCAGUUUUGUGACCUUUGAGUUUUUGGCGUUCCAGCACCCUCUCCUCCCUUGAGGGUCCUCUGUGCCCACGCUGUCUAAGAGAACAUACCAGGGCAUAGAACUUAAGGCAAGUUCCCUUCUCAGCAAAGUUGCUGGCUCUUUAACUGUGGGAGUAAGGUGGUCAGUUAGAUACUUAGGCUAACAUCCGCUUGAUUUGCAUUUUCCUAAUUACUCUUAGAAGGCAUUAUGUCUAGUUGAAAGUUAUGGAGCAUGCGCUGGUCCUGAGAAUUAAAACCUUAAGAGUCAGGAGAUCUGCAUCAUAGUCUCAGAAAUUUAGGGGCCACUUAAUGUUGUGACUUUCAGCGACCUCUUUACCUGCGUUUACCUUAUUUUCCUUUCUGUAAGACAGGGAGCUCGAAUAAGGCAAUCACUAAGAUUCCUUCUAGCUUUAAAAUGCAGCAUGCUUCUUUUAAUAUUAGUUAAAGGAGACACAAGCAUCCAUAUGUCACUAAACACUGUUUUUG
rnacentral:lncRNA from 1 species